CACCCAACAGCUAGCCCAACCAACCAAAAACAACACACCCCUAUAUAUAAACCCGCACCAACCAAGAACCGCUAAACAAACCAUUUUUCCACCCUAGUAUGGGAGACAGAAAAG
rnacentral:rRNA from 1 species